rnacentral:rRNA from 1 species
UACAGAGGGGGCAAGCGUUGUUCGGAAUUACUGGGCGUAAAGGGCGCGUAGGCGGCCUGUUAAGUCGAACGUGAAAUCCCCGGGCUCAACCCGGGAACUGCGUCCGAUACUGGCAGGCUUGAAUUCGGGAGAGGGAUGUGGAAUUCCAGGUGUAGCGGUGAAAUGCGUAGAUAUCUGGAGGAACACCGGUGGCGAAAGCGGCGCGCUGGAUCCCUCUGACGCUGUAGGCGCGAAAGCCAGGGGAGGCAAACGGGAUUAGAUACCCCGGGU